rnacentral:rRNA from 1 species
GACGAACGCUGGCGGCGUGCUUAACACAUGCAAGUCGAACGGAAAGGCCCUUCGGGGUACUCGAGUGGCGAACGGGUGAGUAACACGUGGGUGAUCUGCCCUGCACUUUGGGAUAAGCCUGGGAAACUGGGUCUAAUACCGAAUAGGACCACGCGCUUCAUGGUGUGUGGUGGAAAGCUUUUGCGGUGUGGGAUGGGCCCGCGGCCUAUCAGCUUGUUGGUGGGGUAAUGGUCUACCAAGGCGACGGCGGGUAGCCGGCCUGAGAGGGUGACCGGCCACACUGGGACUGAGGAACGGCCCAGACUCCUACGGGAGGCAGCGGUGGGAAAUAUUGCACAAUGGGCGCAAGCCUGAUGCAGCGACGCCGCGUGAGGGAUGACGGCCUUCGGGUUGUAAACCUCUUUCAAUAGGGACGAAGCGCAAGUGACGGUACCUAUAGAAGAAGCACCGGCCAACUACGUG